UAUACCCCCGGACCUAGAUUUACAAUUUUGUCUGACAACAGAAGGUAACAAAGAAAAACCAUCAACAUCAAUAACAUCAUACUUAUCAAUUUCUGUUUCUGUUAAACAUAUUACAUCAUACAAUGAUGUAAAUUCUACAAAAUCAGGUUUACCUAAUUUAGAAGCUAGGCCACAACAUUAAGGGACAAAACUUUUAUUUUCAAAAAUGAAUCUGAAAAAGAAAUUUCACUUUCGGCAUCACUCUGCGUUAUAUUUGCAUCAUUUCCACCAUUCGAACUGCGCGUAACGUCACUCAGGGAAUCAGAAUUUAAGGAGUCGUCAUUUUCGGAGUAUUUCCCUUCACUGCACC
rnacentral:lncRNA from 1 species